AACGAACGCUGGCGGCAGGCUUAACACAUGCAAGUCGAGCGCCGUAGCAAUACGGAGCGGCAGACGGGUGAGUAACGCGUGGGAAUCUACCCAUCACUACGGAACAACUCCGGGAAACUGGAGCUAAUACCGUAUACGUCCUUCGGGAGAAAGAUUUAUCGGUGAUGGAUGAGCCCGCGUUGGAUUAGCUAGUUGGUGGGGUAAUGGCCCACCAAGGCGACGAUCCAUAGCUGGUCUGAGAGGAUGAUCAGCCACACUGGGACCGAGACACGGCCCAGACUCCUACGGGAGGCAGCAGUGGGGAAUAUUGGACAAUGGGCGCAAGCCUGAUCCAGCCAUGCCGCGUGAAUGAUGAAGGCCCUAGGGUUGUAAAGCUCUUUCACCGGUGAAGAUAAUGACGGUAACCGGAGAAGAAGCCCCGGCUAACUUCGUGCCAGCCGCCGCCGUAA
rnacentral:rRNA from 1 species